CUUGAAUUAAACGCCUAUAAAUCUUUAUAGGCCAAUAUUUCUCCACAACAGAUACCUUCCACAAUGUCUUGUCACGACAGACCUAGCAAUUUCACCUCAAGAAAAUCCCUACCAUAGAUUGUUACUCAAGCCACCUAUGAAUGAGUGCGAAAUAAUGAAUUGAGAAUUGUGGUAGCGGCAAUGGUAGCUGAGUCGGUAACGAGGAUCCAACCUGUUCACGAUAUGAAAACGUGAACCAUGACAACAUUCAUCUAAUGCCAAAGUGAAAAAUGUAGAUCUUUGAUCUCCACUGCUCAUGUCUUCACAUUGUGGUGCCCAGAAUUGGACUAUUCACAGACAUGAAUUAAGGAAAGUACAGUAAACAACUUCUUCAGUGUAAAAUCAAAAGACAUUGUAAUCAUAACCUAAGAAUUUCAUAAAUACACUUUUUGACUUAGCUAUGCUGAAAAAUAAUUCUGCACUGAUGAUACAUCUGCUGACAGUGGAGGAUAAUUUAAAAAUAUGUAAAUUUCGAUUCAAGUAAGAUUCACAAUUACUUUAAGCAUUUGCUAGGCAAAAGGGUGAAUAUACAGAACUGACCUACAUUUGGAAGCUUAACAAUGAAACUAAAUCUGCUCAGGCUUCUAUACUAGCAUUUACAUCUUCUUUAUUACCAACGUGAGAAGAUAAUAGAGAUAGGAAGAGAAAUACACCUUAAAAUAAUAAGUUCAUUACAAUUUUUUUUGCUUUGUAUAUAUUUUAUUUAUUUUUAAUCUAUUUACAUCAUAAUACAAAUUCAAUAACAUACAAUUUUUAACAGUGUAUGUCGUUUUAAUAAGUUAUCCCUCAAGAGAAACAUCAGUGAUAAUACUACUAAUGACUAUCCAAAUUUUAUGCUUCAAACAAUUUUAUUGCUGUAAAUAAAU